UAAGUGACUAAGCGUACACGGUGGAUGCCUUGGCAGUCAGAGGCGAUGAAAGACGUAGUAACUUGCGAUAAGCCCAGAUUAGGUAGUAACAACCAUUUGAGUCUGGGAUUUCUGAAUGGGGAAACCCACGUGCAUAAGCACGUAUCCUUACCUGAAUACAUAGGGUAAGGAGGCGAACCGGGGGAACUGAAACAUCUAAGUACCCCGAGGAAAAGAAAUCAACCGAGAUUCCGAAAGUAGCGGCGAGCGAAAUUGGACUAGCCCUUAAGCUUUACACGCGUUAGACGAACGGUCUGGAAAGUCCGACGAUACAGGGUGAUAGUCCCGUAGUUGACGACGUGUGUUCAGUGAAAUCGAGUAGGGCGGGACACGUGAUAUCCUGUCUGAAUAUGGGGGGACCAUCCUCCAAGGCUAAAUACUACUGACUGACCGAUAGUGAACCAGUACCGUGAGGGAAAGGCGAAAAGAACCCCUGUGAGGGGAGUGAAAUAGAACCUGAAACCGUGUACGUACAAGCAGUAGGAGCAGGCUUGUCCUGUGACUGCGUACCUUUUGUAUAAUGGGUCAGCGACUUAUAUUCAGUGGCAAGGUUAACCAUCUAGGGGAGCCGUAGGGAAACCGAGUCUUAACUGGGCGUUCAGUCUCUGGAUAUAGACCCGAAACCAGGUGAUCUAGCCAUGGGCAGGUUGAAGGUUGAGUAACAUCAACUGGAGGACCGAACCGACUAAUGUUGAAAAAUUAGCGGAUGACUUGUGGCUAGGGGUGAAAGGCCAAUCAAACCUGGAGAUAGCUGGUUCUCCCCGAAAGCUAUUUAGGUAGCGCCUCGGACGAAUACUACUGGGGGUAGAGCACUGUUAAGGCUAGGGGGUCAUCCCGACUUACCAACCCUUUGCAAACUCCGAAUACCAGUAAGUACUAUCCGGGAGACACACGGCGGGUGCUAACGUCCGUCGUGGAGAGGGAAACAACCCAGACCGCCAGCUAAGGUCCCAAAUUACUACUAAGUGGGAAACGAUGUGGGAAGGCUCAGACAGCCAGGAUGUUGGCUUAGAAGCAGCCAUCAUUUAAAGAAAGCGUAAUAGCUCACUGGUCGAGUCGGCCUGCGCGGAAGAUGUAACGGGGCUAAGUAGUAAACCGAAGCUGCGGCAAUGUGCUUUUGCACAUUGGGUAGGGGAGCGUUCUGUAAGCGGUUGAAGGUGUGUGGUAACGCAUGCUGGACGUAUCAGAAGUGCGAAUGCUGACAUGAGUAACGAUAAAGGGGGUGAAAAACCUCCUCGCCGGAAGACCAAGGGUUCCUGUCCAACGUUAAUCGGGGCAGGGUAAGUCGACCCCUAAGGCGAGGCCGAAAGGCGUAGUCGAUGGGAAACGGGUUAAUAUUCCCGUACUUCUUACAAUUGCGAUGGGGGGACGGAGAAGGCUAGGUGGGCCUGGCGACGGUUGUCCAGGUUCAAGUGCGUAGGCUUAAGAGUUAGGUAAAUCCGGCUCUUUCUAAGGCUGAGACACGACGUCGAGCACCUACGGGUGUGAAGUCAUUGAUGCCAUGCUUCCAGGAAAAGCCUCUAAGCUUCAGAUUGUAAGGAAUCGUACCCCAAACCGACACAGGUGGUCGGGUAGAGAAUACCAAGGCGCUUGAGAGAACUCGGGUGAAGGAACUAGGCAAAAUGGUACCGUAACUUCGGGAGAAGGUACGCUCUUGAUGGUGAAGUCCCUCGCGGAUGGAGCUGACGAGAGUCGCAGAUACCAGGUGGCUGCAACUGUUUAUUAAAAACACAGCACUGUGCAAAAUCGUAAGAUGACGUAUACGGUGUGACGCCUGCCCGGUGCCGGAAGGUUAAUUGAUGGGGUUAGACUUCGGUCGAAGCUCUUGAUCGAAGCCCCGGUAAACGGCGGCCGUAACUAUAACGGUCCUAAGGUAGCGAAAUUCCUUGUCGGGUAAGUUCCGACCUGCACGAAUGGCGUAAUGAUGGCCACGCUGUCUCCACCCGAGACUCAGUGAAAUUGAAAUCGCUGUGAAGAUGCAGUGUACCCGCGGCUAGACGGAAAGACCCCGUGAACCUUUACUACAGCUUGGCACUGAACAUUGACCCUACAUGUGUAGGAUAGGUGGGAGGCUUUGAAGCACGUACGCCAGUAUGUGUGGAGCCGUCCUUGAAAUACCACCCUUGUAGUGUUGAUGUUCUAACGUCGACCCCUUAUCGGGGUUGCGGACAGUGCCUGGUGGGUAGUUUGACUGGGGCGGUCUCCUCCCAAAGAGUAACGGAGGAGCACGAAGGUGGGCUAAUCACGGUUGGACAUCGUGAGGUUAGUGCAAUGGCAUAAGCCCGCUUGACUGCGAGAAUGACAAUUCGAGCAGGUGCGAAAGCAGGUCAUAGUGAUCCGGUGGUUCUGAAUGGAAGGGCCAUCGCUCAACGGAUAAAAGGUACUCCGGGGAUAACAGGCUGAUACCGCCCAAGAGUUCAUAUCGACGGCGGUGUUUGGCACCUCGAUGUCGGCUCAUCACAUCCUGGGGCUGAAGUCGGUCCCAAGGGUAUGGCUGUUCGCCAUUUAAAGUGGUACGCGAGCUGGGUUUAGAACGUCGUGAGACAGUUCGGUCCCUAUCUGCCGUGGGCGUUGGAAGAUUGAAGGGGGCUGCUCCUAGUACGAGAGGACCGGAGUGGACGAACCUCUGGUGUUCGGGUUGUGUCGCCAGACGCAUUGCCCGGUAGCUAAGUUCGGAAUCGAUAACCGCUGAAAGCAUCUAAGCGGGAAGCGAGCCCUGAGAUGAGUCUUCCCUGAUACUUUAAGUAUCCUAAAGGGUUGUCGGAGACUACGACGUUGAUAGGUCAGGUGUGUAAGUGCUGUGAGGCAUUGAGCUAACUGAUACUAAUUGCCCGUGAGGCUUAACCA
rnacentral:rRNA from 1 species